UUCUCCAACCAAGGGGUAGGAGAUAUAGAAGCAUAGCCUGCCACACCAAUAGGCUGAAGAACGGUUUCACCCCAUGGGCUGUCAGACUCCUGAAUGGAAAAUAACUUCAUGUCAACAUAGACUUGUGG